GUGCUCAAAAAAAGGACAUCUAGUGUGCAUCUCCCUCUGCAAGGAAGGAAUCGACCUUUGGAAUUUACCGGUUACAACACAACAAUUUAAGGCAUUCCAAGUUGGUGGGACCAACAAAGAAAUGUGUUC